GAACAUUUUACAGCAGAACUUGAGUAUACCCUAUAUCCAACUCAUUUCAAAGCAGGAGAUGUUUGUAUUCAGAGACCUUCACAAGACAAUUGAAUGUGGAAAUAAGAAGCCACUUGUGUUAAUCUUUGGAGAGAGAAGGUGGGUGUAGGUAGCCUUUGUGAGCUUACAGUGAGCUUAGGCCUUGUGAGUUUAGCAUAGGAUGUGUGCUCACAGCCUCAGCUCCAGAUCUCAUUCCUUGUGUGGGGUCUGCCCUCAGGGCUCCAUGCAGGGCAGGGGUGAUAACUUUGUGCACCAGUGUCAUUUCUUGCAGACCAGCUCUGGUCAUCUGAGAGGGUUAUAAGGAUCCCAGGGCCUUGCUGAGCUGCCUGGAACUGUGUAGUUGUUCAGUCACUAAGUCAUGCCCAACUCUCUGACCCUGCAACACAUCAGUCUCCUCUGCCCUUCAUUGUCUCCCGGAGUUUGCUCAAACUCACGUCCAUUGAGUUGGUGAUACCAUCCAACCAUCUCAUUCUCUGUUGGCCCCUUCUGCCCUCAAUCUUUCCCAGCAUCAAAGUCUUUUCCAAUUAGUCAGCUCUUCACAUCAGGUGGCCAAAGUAUUGGAGUUUCAGCUUCAGCAGCAAUCCUAGUUCAGGGUUCCAAUUCAGGGUUGCUUUCCUUUAGGAUUGACUGGUUUGAUCUUGUAUUCCAAGGGACCCUCAAGAGUUUUCAUUAGCACCACGAUUCAAAAGCAUCAAUUCUUCAGUGCUCAGCCUUUGUGGUCCAACUCUCACAUCUGUACAUGACUACUGGAAAAACCGUAACUUUGACUGUACGGACCUUUGUUGCUUCACUCACCAUCUGCAGUGUAUUUGGAGACCUAGAGAAUAAAAUCUGGAACUUUGACUUGAUCCAAAAUCAAUCAGCAAUGGCUGGCAAGGACCCACAGCUGGAGGGAGCAGCACGCACCCGAUUGCUCGGCUGCCAGCUCAGGGCUGAGCACGGACUUGCAUUGGCCCUAGAGAGGCAACAUGGGGAGAAAGCUGAACUAAGCGACGGGAUUCUGUCCCAGUUCUGAGGGGCUUAACGGUAUGACCUUGGGGCAAGUCAGCAUCUUCUCCAAGCCUUCCUCUCAGUUGGUAGGAUGAAGUUCAAUUAGAAGAAUGUUGGCUCCUAUGAAGCUCUUUGGGAGCAUUUCUCCUCUUAAAUGACUAUGUAGAUAAUUGAAAAGUGCAUCUGUGUGCAUAUGAGAAUGUGCUGCACAUAUGAGAAUGUGCUGGAAUGGAGUUCCUUGCUACAAAAGAUUGUUUUUCCAUGUUUACUGCUGACCACUGAUCACUGCAAUUACAUCAUUGUAUUGAUCACCAAACCAGCCCACAGUGGUAUGAAAAUACUUCUCUCAGUAGUUCCUGUACUGGAAUCAAGAAUUACUGGGAGAAGUGUUGGGUCUUGGGUCCCAUCCUAUAUGAAUGUGCCCAGUAUGGGUGCAACCCUGAGCCUGUUAAAGCUUCACAUCGCCUGCCUGGACUUCUGAGCCCCAGCUGCCCCCUUGGAAUAUAAACCAGAGCAGUGACUUGUGGUCUCUUGACACUCUUGAAAAUUACUAGAGACCCCCAAAGAGCUUUUGCUUGUAUGAGC
ensembl:lncRNA